rnacentral:rRNA from 1 species
AGCAGCCGCGGUAAUUCCAGCUCCAAUAGCGUAUAUUAAAGUUGUUGCAGUUAAAAAGCUCGUAGUUGAAUUUCGGGGUCAGUAGGUCGGUCGUGCCACUGGUAUGAACUGGUUUUACUGAUUCCCCCCUCUUGAAGAACUGUAAUGCCAUUAAUUUGGUGUUGCAGGGAAUCAGGACUGUUACUUUGAAAAAUUAGAGUGUUUAAAGCAGGCUUUUAGCUUGAAUACAUUAGCAUGGAAUAAUGAAAUAGGACGUUUGAUCCUAUUUUGUUGGUUUCUAGGAUUGACGUAAUGAUUAAUAGGGAUAGUUGGGGGCAUUAGUAUUCAAUUGUCAGAGGUGAAAUUCUUGGAUUUAUUGAAGACUAACUACUGCGAAAGCAUUUUGCCAAGGAUGUUUUCAUUAAUCAAGAACGAAAGUUA